rnacentral:rRNA from 1 species
AUACGUAGGUGGCAAGCGUUGUCCGGAAUUAUUGGGCGUAAAGCGCAUGUAGGCGGUUUGGUAAGUCGGUCGUGAAAAUGCGGUGCUUAACGCCGUAUGGCGAUUGAAACUGCUGAACUUGAGUGCAGGAGAGGAAAGGGGAACUCCCAGUGUAGCGGUGAAAUGCGUAGAUAUUGGGAAGAACACCGGUGGCGAAGGCGCCUUUCUGGACUGUGUCUGACGCUCAGAUGCGAAAGCCAGGGCAGCGAACGGGAUUAGAUACCCCGGUAGUCCUGGCCGUAAACGAUGGGUACUAGGUGUGGGAGGUAUCGACUCCUUCCGUGCCGGAGUUAACGCAAUAAGUACCCCGCCUGGGGAGUACGGCCGCAAGGCUUAAACUCAAAUGAAUUGACGGGG